AGCAACAGUAUCAACUGCAGUACCACCAGCAACAAUAUCUGCAGGACCAUCAGAUAUAUUAUAAAAUAGUAUUUAAAAUCAGUUGUCAGCCACAUGUGGUCUAUAUGAUGCAACAUGUUUGCAAUUGUUGGCAUGUCAUUUAAAAAUAUGUAACUAAUUUUGCUUUUUAAUAUUACCAUUAAUAUGACUUUUAAAAUAAUAAAAAUUUUUAUUUGUUUCAAAAAAUACUGUUUUAUUACUUACAAUAUAGU